UAAAUUUGUUUUUCUACAAUUGAGUCCCAACUCUACACAAAAAGCGGCCGAGCAAAGAAAACUGGGCUAGCACUUUCUACGCUGACCGGAAAAUGUUUAUUUGCUUGUCCAGAUUCGCAGAAAAAUAUCUUAAACCAAUCUUUUUCGGCGUCGAUUGCCGACUUUUUGUGGGACAUUUGUGGGACCACAUGGCUGUUAUUGCACCAUCUCUUUCCUGAUUGGCUAUUCGUGCGCUAUUCCCCGAUCGUUCGGUCAUACCGGGAAAUAUGAGGCCUCGGCUUUUGCGCAUCGACCUCGCAAAGCCUCGGUCGAUACGCCAAAGCCUCAGUUUGAUAUUUCCCGGCAUGACCUCACUCUCGCCCAUCGUACUUAGCAAGUCAGCAAUCUCCACUUCCCAGCAAACGGCAAGCAUGACUCAAGACUGGUCUUUCCUGCCUGCUCACCUUUCUUCCUCGCUUUUUUGCUUGCCACAGGAAUCCCGAGACCCCAGAAACAGGAAUUUCCGAAUUUAACCCACUGGAGAGCCGACCAGCAGGUUAUCUUUUGCAAUGUAUACUUUAAUAUGCAGAAAUUAUCUUGGAUUUGCUGCAACUACAAGUGAAUUCAGAUCUGUAAUACAUACAUCAAGAUAACAUGAAAUUACAUGGUACCAGCAGACUGAUUUCAAGGAAAUACAGACAGGUUUAAUAAUUUUGUUAGUGUGCGAUUUCAGUAAUAUUGUGUAAAGUAGUGGCGUGCAUGACCCUUCACUGUAAUUCAGACUUUUGUCUGCGAGAGUGUCGUAAUAAACUAUUAUUAUUAUUAUUAUCAAAA